GAGCGGCAGCGGGUGAGUAACACGUGAUGACCUGCCUUCGAGUGGGGGAUAACGUCCCGAUGGGACGCUAAUACCGCAUCACAUCCUGCCUUUGGAAAGGUGGAGAUCAGGCCGGGGAUCGCUAGACCUGGCGCUUGAAGAGGGGCACGCGCCUGAUUAGCUAGUUGGUGAGGUAAUGGCUCAUCCAAGGCGACGAUCAGUAUCCGGCCUGAGAGGGCGGACGGACAACUGGGACUGAGACACGGCGCAGACUGCUACGGGAGGCAGCAGUGGGGAAUUGUUCGAAAUGAGCGCAAGCCUGACGACGCAACCCGCGUGGAGGACGAAGAUCUACGGGUCGUAGCUCCUGUCGAGCGGGAAGAACGUUUCGCACUGAAUAAUCCGCGAAAGUGACGGUACCGCUAAAGGAAGCCCCGGCUAACUCCGUGCCAGUAGCCGCGGUAAGACGGGGGGGGCAAGCGUUGUUCGAAAUUACUGGGCGGAAAGGGCUCGUAGGCGGCCAACUAAGUCGGAUGUGAAAUCCCCAGGCUUAACCUGGGAACUGCAUCCGAUACUGGAUGGCUUGAAUCCGGGAAAGGGAUGCAGAAUUCCAGGUGUAGCGGUGAAAUGCGUAGAUAUCUGGAGGAAUACCGGUGGCGAACGCGGCAUCCUGGACCGGCAUUGACGCUGACGAGCGAAAGCCAGG
rnacentral:rRNA from 1 species